UCGACGCCCCGCAAGGGGAGUGGCACACGGGUGAGUAACGCGUGGGAACAUACCCUUUCCUGCGGAAUANCUCCGGGAAACUGGAAUUAAUACCGCAUACGCCCUACGGGGGAAAGAUUUAUCGGGGAAGGAUUGGCCCGCGUUGGAUUAGCUAGUUGGUGGGGUAAAGGCCUACCAAGGCGACGAUCCAUAGCUGGUCUGAGAGGAUGAUCAGCCACAUUGGGACUGAGACACGGCCCAAACUCCUACGGGAGGCAGCAGUGGGGAAUAUUGGACAAUGGGCGCAAGCCUGAUCCAGCCAUGCCGCGUGAGUGAUGAAGGCCUUAGGGUUGUAAAGCUCUUUCACCGAUGAAGAUAAUGACGGUAGUCGGAGAAGAACCCCGGCUACUUCGUGCCAGCAGCCGCGGUAAUACGAAGGGGGCUAGCGUUGUUCGGAAUUMUGGGCGUAAACGCACGUAGGCGGAUUUUAAUCAGGGUGAAUCCGCACUCACUGCGGAMUGCUUUGAUCUGGGAUUUGAUUGGAAAGGAAUGAAUUCA
rnacentral:rRNA from 1 species